AGUGAACGCUGGCGGUAGGCCUAACACAUGCAAGUCGAACGGCAGCACAGUAAGAGCUUGCUCUUACGGGUGGCGAGUGGCGGACGGGUGAGGAAUACAUCGGAAUCUACUUUUUCGUGGGGGGUAACGUAGGGAAACUUACGCUAAUACCGCAUACGACCUACGGGUGAAAGCAGGGGAUCUUCGGACCUUUCGCGAUUGAAUGAGCCGAUGUCGGAUUAGCUAGUUGGCGGGGUAAAGGCCCACCAAGGCGACGAUCCGUAGCUGGUCUGAGAGGAUGAUCAGCCACACUGGAACUGAGACACGGUCCAGACUCCUACGGGAGGCAGCAGUGGGGAAUAUUGGACAAUGGGCGCAAGCCUGAUCCAGCCAUACCGCGUGGGUGAAGAAGGCCUUCGGGUUGUAAAGCCCUUUUGUUGGGAAAGAAAAGCAGCAGGUUAAUACCCCGCUGUUCUGACGGUACCCAAAGAAUAAGCACCGGCUAACUACGUG
rnacentral:rRNA from 1 species